rnacentral:lncRNA from 1 species
CUUCCAGUGCCCUGUUUGGCCUCUUUGUGGGGCAAAAGUUGGUCUUGGGGGGGUUAGGGCCACUCCUUCUUGGAAACCCCUUAGGGUAGUAGCAUGAAAAUAAGCUAUCUAUAAAGAAAUCUCUGAAAUCAACACAUUCAUUCCUUCAUACCCAUGACGUACCUGUUCAAUCCAGGCAAGGGCUCUCGGAGCCGUCCAGUUCCUCCGUCCCAGCUGAGAGUGUUUGGGGGACGGAGGGCAGGAAAGUCUCUCUUCACAUCCUGGAAAGGGGUGGAGGAUAAACCCGGGUGGUCUUUUCUCUUUCCCACUUCCAGUGUCCUUUGAGGAGGUGACCCCAUAUUGCCUCCCACAAGACUGGGAUCUUCUGGAUCAACACUAGAGAUCUCUCUGCGAGGACCUCCUGCUGGAGAUUUCUGGGACCGAAGUCUCUCCAGGUAAGGAUCCUGUUGCCUUUUGGGCUGAGACUGGGAAGGAUGAUGGUUGCCCCACCGAAAUGCCUCGGUCAACAGAAGCGCCCUGAGCAUGUGUGUCGGCAGCCCAAAGCACUUGUGUCACAGUCAAAAACAUGACCCUACUUUCAAUUUUGUUCUGCUGCUGCACACAACUGGAGAGUUGGGAUCUAGUGCAGGUUUUGAAUUUAUUUUUUAAAAAUCAAUUGUCCAGUACAUAUACAAAGCAAUAGCCAUUCUCGUUACUUAUUCCCUCCUCGCACCCCGCUCUCUGUCCCAUUGUAGAUGUGGGAUAUAAGAACUUUGAAACAUGCCCUUAAAAUGUUCACAUUUCAAUCUGACUCACAACACCCCCAAAUGCAAGAGACUCAGAGGCUAAUAUUAGCUUUGCUACUGAUGAAAUAGAUAUUUAGUCCUUCCUCACUAAAUAGAUUAAUGAAGUGGGAUGGAAGGGAUUUUAUCUGAAGUUUCUUUGUUAAUUUUUCCUGUAGUGCCAUCUGCCCUCUUCACUGUGUCUGGUUGUAGCCGAAACACCUUAAGGAUUCCUCCAAAAUUGAUCAGUGACUUUCUCCCUCCGGGGCCAACCCAGCCCACCCCAGCCGGGUUUGGAAGAUCUCCAGGUCCCCCUUUCAAGGGUUUCCCCUUUCAGAUCCCUCUUGAUCUCUUUCUGUCCCUCCUUCUCCCUCUUCCUCAGGCAUCAUCCUCCCUUUUUUCAUCUCUCUUUAGGCCUCAUUGUGAGCUGCUUUCCCAUUUCCACCUUGUCUCCUCUCUGGAGGGGGGCAGGAGGCCAGGCAGCCCCACAGGAGAGAAGGAGGAGAAAGGCACACCCUAUGAUGAACAAGAAAAGAAGAAUCACCCAGCAACUCCUGGGGCAACCUCAGAAGAAAUAGAUAAACAAGGAAAAAAAUCAGAGAACUGAAAAUCCAACUGAGCAGGAAUAGAUGUCACCUGAAAGAACUCUUGCAAGGGAGAAACCAAAUAAAUGCAUGUCACUGCAGUAGACA